GACUGCCUGAGCGCUGGAAAACACUCGUUCGGCCCACGGGUCGGCGGGUGGGGGACCAGCGGGACGUCGCGCCGUCUUCGGAGGCUCGGUCGGUCGGCCACCCCAACUCACGCAACCCAAACACAAUUGAAAACUGAAGCCAAAGCGGAACCCGCUCGAAAGAGCGCCGCACCAAAACAAAAGACAACUCUCAACAACGGAUAUCUUGGCUCCCGCAUCGAUGAAGAACGCAGCGAAAUGCGAUACGUAGUGUGAAUUGCAGAAUUCCGUGAAUCAUCGAAUCUUUGAACGCAUAUUGCGCUCGAGACUUCGGUCGAGAGCAUGUCUGUCUCAGCGUCGGCUCACCCCUCGCCCUCCCUUUCCUUCUUCCGAAAGAAAGCGGCGGACGGACGUGGCCGUCUCGGCGCCUCGGCGCCGGGUCGGCUGAAGUGCAGGGCUCGCGGCGCGACCCUCCGUUUCGGAAGGGCGCCAGCAUGGUAGGUGGCUUCACGCUGCAUGCCGCUGUCGUUCCAACUGGUGACGCGAGAAAGUCGAGUUGCCGCACGGCCAGCCAGCAGGAAACGUUCGCUCUUUCGAGAGUCGAACUCAACCUUUCA
rnacentral:rRNA from 1 species